rnacentral:rRNA from 1 species
GGAUUAGAAACCCGGGUAGUCCACGCCGUAAACUAUGGAUACUAGGUGUCCGGAGUGUUAACCCUCUGGGUACCGCAGCUCACGCAUUAAGUAUCCCGCCUGGGGAGUACGGUCGCAAGACUAAAACUCAAAGGAAUUGACGGGGGCCCGCACAAGCGGUGGAGUAUGUGGUUUAAUUCGAAGCAACGCGCAGAACCUUACCUGGGCUUAACAUCCCCUGACAGCGGCAGAGAUGUCGUGUUCCCUUCGGGGACAGGGAGAUAGGUGCUGCAUGGCUGUCGUCAGCUCGUGUCGUAAGAUGUUGGGUUAAGUCCCGCAACGAGCGCAACCCUUGUCCUUAGUUGCCACCAUUAAGUUGGGCACUCUGAGGAGACUGCCGGUGUUAAACCGGAGG